rnacentral:lncRNA from 1 species
AUACUUUCCGGCGAUGCAGCUGAUGUAGAUCUCGAUUGAUCAUCCAUACUAGAAACCUUCAGAUCUAUACUCUCCGUCGACGAUCUAUCAGAACGCUUCAGAUCUGAGAUAACAGCAACUGAGAGGUGCGUCGUCGUAGAAGGAGGCGAUGGUGAAGGUACCGGUAGAGUUGGAGAGCAUAGAGGGAUGGAUUCCGGCACCUUCAGCUCGGUUUCUUCUUUCUCUCUCUUCUGCGCCGCCAUGAUGGAGAGAUUUCUAGAGAGAGAGAAUGGAAAUGAAAUGGGAAUUUGGGGUGUUGGGAAGUGUUUGGCUGAGGAGUUUUAGAGAGAGAGAAAUGGGAAAAAAAGGAGAAGUAUUAUUAUAAAGGAGAAAUUAGAGAUAAAGUCGGUAAAAGGUCGGCCAUAUAGUUUUUCUUUUUUUUUAAGGAAAAAUCAAAAUUAUGAUAUAUAUACAUUUUUAAAAAUAAAAUUAAAUAUGUAAGCUUUUGUUAUGUGCGG